UGUGAGUGCUGGAUGAUGUGUGUGUGUGUGCUGGAUGAUGUGUGUGUGAGUGCUGGAUGAUGUGUGUGUGUGCUGGAUGAUUGUGUGUGUGUGCUGGAUGAUGUGUGUGUGUGUGCUGGAUGAUUGUGUGUGUGCUGGAUGGUGUGUGUGCUGGAUGAUGUGUGUGUGUGCUGGAUGGUGUGUGUGUGUGUGUGCUGGAUGAGUGUGUGUGUGUGUGUGUGCUGGAUGAUGUGUGUGUGUGUGUGUGUGCUGGAUGAUGUGUGUGUGUGUGCUGGAUGAUGUGUG